GCACUCUGAUCCAGCCAUGCCGCGUGCAGGAAGACUGCCCUAUGGGUUGUAAACUGCUUUUAUAUGGGAAGAAUAAGGCUUACGUGUAGGCUGAUGACGGUACCAUAAGAAUAAGCACCGGCUAACUCCGUGCCAGCAGCCGCGGUAAUACGGAGGGUGCAAGCGUUAUCCGGAAUCAUUGGGUUUAAAGGGUCCGUAGGCGGGCAUAUAAGUCAGUGGUGAAAUGCUGUGGCUCAACCAUAGCACUGCCAUUGAUACUGUAUGUCUUGAAUUAUUGUGAAGUGGUUAGAAUAUGUAGUGUAGCGGUGAAAUGCUUAGAUAUUACAUAGAAUACCGAUUGCGAAGGCAGAUCACUAACAAUAUAUUGACGCUGAUGGACGAAAGCGUAGGUAGCGAACAGGAUUAGAUACCCUGGUAGUCUACGCCGUAAACGAUGGAUACUAGUUGUUUGGCUUUCGAGCUGAGUGACUAAGCGAAAGUGAUAAGUAUCCCACCUGGGGAGUACGUUCGCAAGAAUGAAACUCAAGGAAUUGACGG
rnacentral:rRNA from 1 species